rnacentral:rRNA from 1 species
CAGCCGCCACGGGAAUACGUAGGUGGCAAGCGUUGUCCGGAAUUAUUGGGCGUAAAGGGCUCGCAGGCGGUUUCUUAAGUCUGAUGUGAAAGCCCCCGGCUCAACCGGGGAGGGUCAUUGGAAACUGGGAAACUUGAGUGCAGAAGAGGAGAGUGGGAUUCCACGUGUAGCGGUGAAAUGCGUAGAGAUGUGGAGGAACACCAGUGGCGAAGGCGACUCUCUGGUCUGUAACUGACGCUGAGGAGCGAAAGCGUGGGGAGCGAACAGGAUUAGAUACCCCUGUAGUCCCUGUCUCUUAUAC